UACGGGAGGCAGCAGUGGGGAAUAUUGCACAAUGGGCGCAAGCCUGAUGCAGCCAUGCCGCGUGUAUGAAAAAGGCCUUCGGGUUGUAAAGUACUUUCAGUCGUGAGGAAGGUGUUAAGGUUAAUAACCUUAGCAAUUGACGUUAGCGACAGAAGAAGCACCGGCUAACUCCGUGCCAGCAGCCGCGGUAAUACGGAGGGUGCGAGCGUUAAUCGGAAUUACUGGGCGUAAAGGGCACGCAGGCGGUUAAUUAAGUUGGAUGUGAAAUCCCCGGGCUUAACCUGGGAAUGGCAUUCAAGACUGGUUAGCUAGAGUCUUGUAGAGGGGGUAGAAUUCCAUGUGUAGCGGUGAAAUGCGUAGAGAUGUGGAGGAAUACCGGUGGCGAAGGCGGGCCCCUGGGACAAAGGACUGACGCUCAUGUGCGAAAGCGUGGGGAGCAAACAGGGAUUAGAUACC
rnacentral:rRNA from 1 species